rnacentral:rRNA from 1 species
UACGUAGGUGGCGAGCGUUGUCCGGAAUUAUUGGGCGUAAAGAGCGCGUAGGCGGGAUGAUAAGUCUGUUGUAAAAGUGCGGGGCUCAACCCCGUAAGGUCAAUGGAAACUGUCAUUCUUGAGUGCAGGAGAGGAAAGUGGAAUUCCCAGUGUAGCGGUGAAAUGCGUAGAUAUUGGGAGGAACACCAGUGGCGAAGGCGACUUUCUGGACUGUGUCUGACGCUGAGGCGCGAAAGCUAGGGGAGCGAACGGG